rnacentral:rRNA from 1 species
UCCUACGGGUGGCUGCAGUAGGGAAUAUUGCACAAUGGGCGAAAGCCUGAUGCAGCAACGCCGCGUGCGCGAUGAAGGCCUUCGGGUCGUAAAGCGCUUUUCUGAGGGACGAGAAAGGACGGUACCUCAGGAAGAAGGUUCGGCUAACUACGUGCCAGCAGCCGCGGUAAAACGUAGGAACCGAGCGUUAUCCGAAUUUACUGGGCGUAAAGCGCGUGCAGGCGGUUUGGUAAGUUAGAUGUGAAAGCUCCUGGCUUAACUAGGAGAGGCCGUUUAAAACUGCCAGGCUAGAGGACGGUAGAGGGGGGUGGAAUUCCCGGUGUAGUGGUGAAAUGCGUAGAUAUCGGGAGGAACACCUGUGGCGAAGGCGGCCCCCUGGGCCGUACCUGACGCUGAUACGCGAAAGCUAGGGGAGCAAACGGGAUUAGAUACCCCAGUAGUCG